rnacentral:misc_RNA from 1 species
UUUCCGUAGGUGAACCCGCGGAAGGAUCAUUACUAAGUUUUGAAUGAAGUUGUUCUGGUCUUUCGGGGCAAGUGAACGCUCCUCUCAAUCCAUCUUACACCUGUGCACCUAUCGGGGAAGACUUGGAUCUAAGUUGGGUCACGACGGCGAUCUACAGUCUCCUCUUUAUACCAAAUAACAGUUUUAGAAAGUCUUUUUUGCUUGAUGCAAACUUAAAUAAAUACAACUUUCAGCAACGGAUCUCUUGGCUCUC